AGUCACUGACAUUAGAUACCCCGGUAGUCCUAGCCGUAAACGAUACUCGCUAGGUGUCGGCCACGGUGCGACCGUUGUCGGUGCCGUAGGGAAGCCGUGAAGCGAGCCACCUGGGAAGUACGGCCGCAAGGCUGAAACUUAAAGGAAUUGGCGGGGAGCACCACAAGAGGUGGAGGCUGCGGUUCAAUUGGACUCAACGCCGGAAAACUCAUCGGGAGCGACAGCAGUAUGAUUGCCAGGUUGAUGACCUUGCUUGACAAGCUG
rnacentral:rRNA from 1 species